UAUCUAUCUUAUCCUCGCUACUCAUUAUUAUCGAACCUACUUAAGCUCCAGCAUGAGAGGGUAUCUAUUUUUUUCGUCUGCACCUAAACUAUCUCCAAAAAAUCAUGGAUGAACAACUAAGUAGCAAUGUGCGUGCCAGAUUGUGCUUAAGCCCCAAUUUUAUGUCUCCUUUGAGAUUUUAAUCACGGUAGGGACCCACUAUAUCUCAACUGUGGGGCGUUUAAAUAUAUGUGUAUAUAUAUACAUAUAUUUUUAUAUAUAUAUAUAUAUAUAAAUACUGGAUGCCUGCAUGUAUACUAGUAUAUAUAUGUAUGCACGAGUGUAAUGUUGAGAGAGAAACUUGAAACAGCAUAUUUGACACAGGAUGUCAGGACGCGGGUUUACGUCUGGAGUUAAGAAAGAAGUGAGGCACCACUGGUUUCUUACAUUUGAGUCGUGUUGCACUGGAGUUCAGGUCCAGUUUCCCAUUACUGAACUGCAGUGUAGUGUAUAAAAUUCAUGUUUAUCUUCAAGAACUUGAAAACAUUUUUAGGACAUUACAAAGUUAUUUACAGAGAAACACCAUGAUUAACUUGGCCAUUAAAAAUACAAUAAAGCUUUUCACAUUCACGAGCUUCAUUGUGAUAUAUAUUUCGAUUAUUUCUUGCUUUGGUUUAGUUGAGGAGGAUCCUGUAUCAGAAUCUGCUUUCAAAGAGAUUGGAUGCAAUGGUACUUAUAAGCGAAAUUUAUUUACAACAUUAAAUCAAGUAUGUGAGGAUUGCCACAAUUUAUUCCGUGAAACUGUGGUCUAUAAUAUUUGCAGACAAAAUUGUUUUAUAUCAGAUCAUUUUGUAUCAUGUUUGCAAACUUUAAAAAUGGAUUCCAAAUCAGAAAUUGUUGCCUAUAAAAAUAUGAUAAAACAACUUUAUGGAACUAAAGGAGAAUUGUGAUUUCAUUGUUUUCAUAGUUAAGUUUACUAACUGCUCCAAUAAAAAUGAGUAUCUUAUAAAUAUCUUUUCCUUUGAAAUUUUUUUUUAAUUACAUACAAUGUUUGUAUUUUGCAUGAAAUAUUAUAUUUUUAUCAUCUAAAUACUUAUCUAUGUGUAAAUACAUAAAAGAAAUUUUGCUACAAUUGACUAAA